rnacentral:rRNA from 1 species
CCUACGGGAGGCAGCAGUGGGGAAUAUUGCGCAAUGGGCGAAAGCCUGACGCAGCGACGCCGCGUGAGGGAUGAAGGUCUUCGGAUCGUAAACCUCUGUCAGCAGUGAAGAACGGUCACUGUGCUAAUCAGCAGUGAAUUGACGGUACCUCUUGAAUAAGCCACGGCUAACUACGUGCCAGCAGCCGCGGUAAUACGUAGGUGGCAAGCGUUGUCCGGAUUUACUGGGUGUAAAGGGCGUGCAGACGGGCUGACAAGUCCGAUGUGAAAUCCCGUGGCUCAACCACGGAACGGCAUUUGAAACUGUCGGUCUUGAGUAUCGGAGAGGCAGGCGGAAUUCCUAGUGUAGCGGUGAAAUGCGUAGAUAUUAGGAGGAACACCAGUGGCGAAGGCGGCCUGCUGGACGACAACUGACGGUGAGGCGCGAAAGCGUGGGGAGCAAACAGGAUUAGAUACCCCUGUAGUC